rnacentral:rRNA from 1 species
AAAGUAAGCAAGGGCAGACGGUGGAUGCCUUGGCUCUCGGAGGCGACGAAGGACGUGAUAAGCUGCGAAAAGCUCGGGGGAGGCGCAAAUAGCCGUUGAUCCCGGGAUAUCCGAAUGGGGCAACCCGGCAGGCUGAAGGCCUGUCAUCCCGUAAGGGAGGCGAACGUGGGGAACUGAAACAUCUAAGUACCCAUAGGAGGAGAAAAUAAACAAUGAUUCCGUAAGUAGUGGCGAGCGAACACGGAAGAGCCCAAACCCAUGUCGUCUAGGCGACACGGGGGUUGUAGGACCACGACGUGGCAAGAUAGAGUCAAGUGGAACGCCUUGGAAAAGGCGGUCAUAGAGGGUGAAAACCCCGUACACGACUGACGAUUGAAGCCUAGUGGUAUCCUGAGUAGCGCGGGGCACGAGAAAUCUUGCGUGAAACAGCGGGGCCCAUCCCGUAAGGCUAAAUACUCCCGAGAGACCGAUAGCGAACCAGUACCGUGAGGGAAAGGUGAAAAGAACCCCGAGCAGGGGAGUGAAAUAGACCCUGAACCCGUCUGCCUACAAGCGGUCGGAGCAUAGCAAUAUGUGACGGCGUGCCUUUUGCAUAAUGAACCUACGAGUUACCUUCCCCGGCAAGGUUAAGUACCUAAGGUACGGAGCCGAAGCGAAAGCGAGUCUGAAGAGGGCGGCCAGUCGGGGGGGGUAGACGCGAAACCGAGUGAUCUACCCUUGGCCAGGUUGAAGGUUGGGUAACACCAACUGGAGGACCGGAUGGGUAAGCGUUGAAAAGCUUUCCAAUGAGCUGAGGGUAGGGGUGAAAGGCUAAUCAAACUCGGAGAUAGCUCGUACUCCCCGAAAUGCAUUUAGGUGCAGCCUCUUUAUAGUAUAUCGUGAGGUAGAGCGACUGAUUGGAUGCGAGGGCUUCACCGCCUAUCAAGUCCAGAUAAACUCCGAAUGCGCGAUAUAUAUUUAAAGGGAGUGAGGGCGCGGGUGCUAAGGUCCGUGUCCGAGAGGAGAAGAAUCCAGACCACCGGCUAAGGCCCCCAAAUGAUCGUUGAGUUGAACUAACGAGGUCGGAUCGCAGAGACAGCUAGGAUGUUGGCUUGGAAGCAGCCAUUCAUUUAAAGAGUGCGUAACAGCUCACUAGUCGAGCGAUCUGGCGUGGAUAAUAAUCGGGCAUAAACGAUCUGCCGAAGCCGUGGAUGUCGUAAGACAUGGUAGGGGAGCAUUCCAUGCGGCGUCGAAGAUGAGGGAUGACCCUUGUUGGAGCGCAUGGAAAAGCAAAUGUAGGUAUGAGUAACGAUAAGGGGGGCGAGAAACCCCCCCGCCGAAAGACCAAGGUUUCCUGAUCAACGCUAAUCGGAUCAGGGUGAGUCGGGACCUAAGGCAAAGCCGAACGGCGACGCCGAUGGAAGAAUGGGUUAAUAUUCCCAUACUGCCUCAUGGAGUGACGUGGAGACGGAGAAGUGACAGUCCUGCCGGCUGACGGAAUAGCCGGUUGAAGGGUGUAGAUAUUGAUUCCCGUAGGCAAAUCCGCGGGGAGAGUCGAACCUGACAGUAUACCGAGUACUUGUACGAGGUAAUAUGGACGUAACCAUGCUCCCAAGAAAAUCCGCUAAACUUAUCCAUGCGGCACCCGUACCGUAAACGGACACACGUGGUCGGGUUGAGAAUACUGAGGCGCUCGAGUGAUUCACGGUUAAGGAACUAGGCAAAUUGACCCUGUAACUUCGGGAUAAAGGGUCCUCGUCGUAAGGCGAGGCGCAGAGAAUAGGUCCAGGCAACUGUUUAACAAAAACACAUGGCUAUGCUAAAUGGAAACAUGACGUAUAUAGCCUGACACCUGCCCGGUGCUGGAAGGUUAAGAGGAGAUGUCAUCGCAAGAGAAGCGUUGAAUUGAAGCCCCAGUAAACGGCGGCCGUAACUAUAACGGUCCUAAGGUAGCGAAAUUCCUUGUCGGGUAAGUUCCGACCUGCACGAAUGGUGUAAUGAUCUGGACACUGUCUCAACCGUGAGCUCGGUGAAAUUGUAGUAUCGGUGAAGAUGCCGAUUACCCGCGAUGGGACGAAAAGACCCCGUGAACCUUUACUAUAGCUUUACAUUGAAUUUGGGCAGACGAUGUGUAGGAUAGGCCGGAGGCUUUGAAGGGGGUACGCCAGUAUCCUUGGAGCCGCCGUUGAAAUACGGCCCUUCGGUUGUUUGAGUUCUAACUCCUAGGCAGGAGGACACUGUAUGGUGGGUAGUUUGACUGGGGUGGUCGCCUCCAAAAGCGUAACGGAGGCUUCUAAAGGUGCCCUCAGACCGAUUGGUAACCGGUCGUAGAGUGUAAUGGCAUAAGGGCGCUUGACUGGGAGAGAUACAACUCGAUCAGGUAGGAAACUAGAGCAUAGUGAUCCGGUGGUUCCGCAUGGAAGGGCCAUCGCUCAAAGGAUAAAAGGUACUCCGGGGAUAACAGGCUGAUCAUUCCCAAGAGCUCAUAUCGACGGAAUGGUUUGGCACCUCGAUGUCGGCUCGUCACAUCCUGGGGCUGGGGAAGGUCCCAAGGGUUGGGCUGUUCGCCCAUUAAAGUGGCACGCGAGCUGGGUUCAGAACGUCGUGAGACAGUUCGGUCUCUAUCUAUCGUGGGCGCAGGAGAUUUGAGGGGCUCUGACACUAGUACGAGAGGACCGUGUUGGACGUACCACUGGUUUACCGGUUGUCCCGCCAGGGGCACCGCCGGGUAUCUAAGUACGGAUCGGAUAAGUGCUGAAAGCAUCUAAGUACGAAGCCGGCCUCAAGAUUAGAUCUCCCUGAAGGGUGGUUAUAGACGAUGACCUUGAUAGGCCACAGGUGUAAGGGCGGCGACGUCCGAGCCGAGUGGUACUAAUAGCCCGGGACUUUCCUCA